GAUUAGUCAAUGCUCGCAGAGUGACUAGCUAACUGAAAUCACAAAAUCACAAAAUGUGCUUAUUGUGAUAACGUAAGGGAAAAAAAUGAUAUUACCUUACUAUAAGUGUUGUCUAAAUAACUGGUGCCAGAAGACUCGGUAACACCAGAAACGCGAACGUUAGUCGUCUUAAACAGGCGUAAAGGGUAAGUAGGCUGCUUUAAAGUCUAUUUUUUAAAAAAGCUAAUUAAUAAUAUUCCUCUAGCCUAGCAAUUGCUAAAGCAGUCGGUAGCCCUCGCUAAUUUUUAUAAGAAAAGCGAGUCGCUAACGCAGGACGGGAUGCCAUAUCUAUAAAUUUUCAGACCUUAAAUUAAAAAUUAAGGCUAAAUUAAAUGAAAAUAGGUAAUUAUUAUUAGAACGGAAAACUAAUAAUAAUUUAUUAUUAAUGGGGACAAAAAUAGAUAUACUUAAAGCUAGAAUCAAAAUUGAGAUAAACCAAAUAAUACUUAUGUGUAAGGGCGAUAUCUGUAAAUACUAAGUAGAAUACUAACGGUGAAAACUUUUUAUCUGGUAAUGAUUGACGCUGAGGUACGAAAGUGAGAACAGGGAAUAGGAUUAGAUACCCAGUUACCUCUCACCGUCAACGAUGAAUGGUAGUUGUUAGUUUAAUUAAAUUAGUGACGAUGUUAACGCGAUAACCAUUCCGCCUUGAGAGUACGGUUGCAAAACUGAAACCAAAAAAAUUAGUCGGUUCUCGGAGCAAACGGAGUGAGCAUGUUAUUUAUUC
rnacentral:rRNA from 1 species